rnacentral:tRNA from 1 species
GGAGGAGUGGCCGAGUGGCUUAAGGCGCACGCUUGGAAAGCGUGUGGGUUAACGCCCGCGCAGGUUCGAAUCCUGUCUCCUCCG